UUCUUCGUGGUGUAAUGGUUAGCUCAUUGGACUUUGAAUCCUAGGGUUCGGGUUCGACUCCCGGGGGAAC